UGCGUAAUACGUACGUGGCAGCGUUGUGUAGUGGGCCGGAGGUAACGCUCGGACGGACGGCAGUUUCCUGCCAGGACGGUGUUCCAUGGAUCAGAAUCGAAGCCGCCGUCUGAUCCGUGGAUCGGGAAGUUUGCUUUUCCGUCUGGCCGCCCCAGAGUCGAAUUGAAUGGAGGGUCCAGCGUCGUGUCUUGCAAAGCGAGUGGCGUUUUGAAGGCGACGACGGGGAGAUAGAGGUCUGGAGCGGCGGCGGCGAUCCACCAUGGAGUUUUUGAUGCAACCAAUAGGCAGAUCUGCUCUGUUUGAGGAGGUAGGAGAGGGGUUGGUGCCUGCGCCUCUAGUUGCGGAUGACGGUGUGCCGGAGCAGGAGAGGCUGCCGGAACGGAGGCCACAGCGGGCAGAAGGGAUCUGACGUCCGAGGCUCUGAGCUCUCGACGGGGAAGAUGAAUCCCCAGGUACCCCGAUGGAAUAAGAGACUGAGGAUUGGUGCUGCUGCACCAAGCAGGACACCUUGCUCAACUCGAAUCAGUGUGUUUCAGAAGGCUGUUAGGAAUUUGAGAGAGGAUGGGAAAUGCUGCUGGACAAAUACAAGAUGAGAGCACAUCCUUACAUGACAGCCUUUUGAGAUUAGGCAGAAAUGCUGCUGGGCAUCUAAAUGAUCAGCUUGCUGCAACUUCAAGCAGAACUGGAUGUGAAAUAUGGAGAGAGAAUCCCGUGCAUCGGCAUUGAAUGUGCAGAUGGGUUUGGUUGAAGGGAUUAUUGACAUCUCUGACAGUGAACGCAACGAUGAAGUUAAUUUUGAAGAGUGGUCUGAUCCUGAGCAUGCUAAACUGGUUGAGACAGAUAGAAGGUUGAGAGAGCAAGAGGAGAAAGAUGCAGAGGUCGUGAAGAUGUAUCAGGAAAUGUAUGGCAAAAAUGAUGGGCACCAAGAAGUCUCAGGCACGGAUAAUGAUUCACUUGUUGAGAAGCACCGUAAGUUAAGGGAGCAAGAGGAAAAAGACACCAAGGUUGCAAUGAUGUAUCAAACACUGUAUGAUCAAAAUGCUACUGAAGCUCAGAUCACCAAUGUGCCAGCAAACAGAAUUCUUGCUCAGGCGGCAAAACCUGCAGGUCGGGAAAGAAGCCCCAUGGAGGGUGGGCGUAGAGGUAGGUUACUAAACAGAGUAGAGUAGAUAUUGAGCGUAUCAUGCCAUAGGGUUACAAUUUUUUCAAGUAGAAACAGUACCACAACUGUGAAAUAUGCUGACAGUGAUUAAGCUGCUCUUGCAAAUGUAGAUGCAGCUGUUCAGGUGAAUGAACAUGCCGGGGAGAGUUCAUACAUGGAAGAAAAUUUUAAAUUUGUGUUUUGAGAAUGCACUUUGAAUAUUUACUAACAACAACUUUGCUUUGCACGACGGGGGUGCGUUGGUGGUGCCUCCAGGGCAGGGAACAUGAAUUCCAUGAAGUGGUCUUGGAGGCGGAAAGGGAAGAAGUCGGAAACGGGAUCCAAGGGGCAGAGGAGAGUGAGGUUCUCGAACACUGUGGAGACGAUAUGCCCAUCGAAAUCCUGAGUGAAGACAGUUCUAGUGAUGAUGGAAUGCAGCAAGCGAAGAUGAUCACGAGCCUGCACAUCUACCUGGUAGCAACGUAGAUGGUUUGGAUACAUUGGUUGCAAAUGACAUCGUGGCGGCGAGGUCAAAGGAGGGUGGAAGAACCACCGUCAGCCAUGUCAGGAGUGCAGCACGCGGUGGAGUUGACGCUGCUCCGCACGGACAUGGGACUCACAAAGGCCCUGGGACCAGCCGAUAUCGGGAGUAGCCCAUGUGGGAGAAUUGAGCGUCGCGAGAGCGAACCUGGAUACACAUUUCAGUGGUUCAUCAGGUUAGUGCAAGCCUGGAUGGUCGACAGUCAUGCAUUUGUAGCAAAGAUGAUGUUGGAAAUGUUGAAGGUGCACAUAAUUUUCCAAAAAAUGAAUAAUUCGGCAUGGCGGGGAGGGUGGCAGUCCUCCGGUUAAGAUUCGGUGGUAUAGCCUUUGAUUAGUCGGCGCAUUUCAUCAGCAAUAUCAAUGUGAUGCUGAUAAGCACCUAAAAUUCCUGAUUAGGAUUAUGAUGAUUCUUUAUAGUUCUCUCAGCAAAAGAGUACAUUUCCCAUACUGUUGCUUCUGGGUUGAUCUGCUAGAAUAGUGGUAGCAAGCCAUCGCUUGAAUUCAUCAAAGGACUCAGUAACUUCUACGGCAUGCUUAGCAGAGAUAUGUGAUGUUGGUGCUGGGGGGUCUCCGGUGUGUUCUGAUGUAUGGCUACGUGUGGGUACGUCCUCAGCAGCCGUCUCCCCCAGUAAGGAAUAAGGACAGUAAGAUUGACCAGUCAUAGAAAGCAUGAAAAAUCUUGAAAAUGUAACUGUGACUCGUAGGACUGGUCAAAUAAAGAUUCCUGUGAAAUGUUUGGAAAAA